UAGCGGGACAACGUCGCGUCUGAGCCCGAAAUGGGUCCCGUAAUCGGACUGAGUGUGGCGGUUGGUUGCCAACGGUCUGGAGGUCUUCCUGGAGCUCCAGAGUAGCGGGACAACGUCGCGUCUGAGUCCGAAAUGGGUCCCGUAAUCGGACUGAGUGUGGUGGUUGGUUGCCAACGGUCUGGAGGUCUUCCUGGAGCUCCAGAGUAGCGGGACAACGUCGCGUCUGAGUCCGAAAUGGGUCCCGUAAUCGGACUGAGUGUGGCGGUUGGUUGCCAACGGUCUGGAGGUCUUCCUGGAGCUCCAGAGUAGCGGGACAACUUCGCGUCUGAGUCCGAAACGGGUCCCCUAAUCGGACUGAGUGGUGCGGUUGGUUGCCAACGGUCUGGAGGUCCUGAGAAUCAUCCAGGGGAGCGGGACCACUUGGCUUCUGAGGCCGAAUCGGGUCCCCUUGUCGGACUGAAUGGUGCAGUUGGUGGCCAACAGUCUGGAGGUCUUCCUGAGGCUCCAGAGGAGGGUAACUCUGUGAGUCUGAGUCCGAGAUGAGUCCCCUAAUCGGACUGAAUGGUGCAGUUUCAGUACGCCGUGGACCACUUUGGUCUGCCAUCGUCAGUCGCUACGGUCGCUACUCGCUACUGUCUGCCGUGGAAUCAAAACAAA